CCAUACCACCCUAAACACGCCAGAUCUUAUCUGAUCUUGGAAGCUAAGCAGGGUCGGGCUUGCUUUGUACUUGGAUGGGAGAUUCACCUAGAAACGUGUCAAAAAAGGA
rnacentral:rRNA from 1 species